CCUACGGGGGGCAGCAGUGGGGAAUAUUGCACAAUGGGGGAAACCCUGAUGCAGUGACGCCGCGUGAGUGAAGAAGUAUUUCGGUACGUAAAGCUCUAUCAGCAGGGAAGAAAUAAAGUCCUUCGGACUUUGGACGGUACCUGACUAAGAAGCCCCGGCUAACUACGUGCCAGCAGCCGCGGUAAUACGUAGGGGGCAAGCGUUAUCCGGAUUUACUGGGUGUAAAGGGAGCGUAGACGGCAGCGCAAGUCUGGAGUGAAAUGCCGGGGCCCAACCCCGGAACUGCUCUGGAAACUGGGAAGCUG
rnacentral:rRNA from 1 species